UCCAGACUCCUACGGGAGGCAGCAGUGGGGAAUAUUGCGCAAUGGAGGGAACCCUGACGCAGCAACGCCGCGUGCAGGAAGAAGGUCUUCGGAUUGUAAACUGUUGUCGCAGGGGAAGAAGACAGUGACGGUACCCUGUGAGAAAGUCACGGCUAACUACGUGCCAGCAGCCGCGGUAAUACGUAGGUGACAAGCGUUGUCCGGAUUUAUUGGGUUUAAAGGGUGCGUAGGCGGUCGGAUAAGUUAGAGGUGAAAUCCCGAGGCUCAACUUCGGAAUUGCCUCUGAUACUGUUCGGCUAGAGAGUAGUUGCGGUAGGCGGAAUGUAUGGUGUAGCGGUGAAAUGCUUAGAGAUCAUACAGAACACCGAUUGCGAAGGCAGCUUACCAAGCUACUUCUGACGUUGAGGCACGAAAGCGUGGGGAGCAAACAGGAUUAGAUACCCUAGUA
rnacentral:rRNA from 1 species